CAGUCGCCGCGGUAAUACGUAGGGCGCAAGCGUUAUCCGGAAUUAUUGGGCGUAAAGAGCUCGUAGGCGGUUUGUCGCGUCUGCCGUGAAAGUCCGGGGCUCAACCCCGGAUCUGCGGUGGGUACGGGCAGACUAGAGUGAUGUAGGGGAGACUGGAAUUCCUGGUGUAGCGGUGAAAUGCGCAGAUAUCAGGAGGAACACCGAUGGCGAAGGCAGGUCUCUGGGCAUUAACUGACGCUGAGGAGCGAAAGCAUGGGGAGCGAACAGGAUUAGAGACCCCGGUAGUCCCUGUCUCUUAUAC
rnacentral:rRNA from 1 species